UGGGGAAUAUUGCACAAUGGGGGAAACCCUGAUGCAGCGACGCCGCGUGAACGAAGAAGGUAUUCGUAUCGUAAAGUUCUGUCCUAUGGGAAGAUAAUGACAGUACCAUAGAAGAAAGCUCCGGCUAAAUACGUGCCAGCAGCCGAGGUAAUACGUAUGGAGCGAGCGUUGUCCGGAAUUAUUGGGCGUAAAGGGUACGCAGGCGGUUUAAUAAGUCGAAUGUUAAAGAUCGGGGCUCAACCCCGUAAAGCAUUGGAAACUGAUAAACUUGAGUAGUGGAGAGGAAAGUGGAAUUCCUAGUGUAGUGGUGAAAUACGUAGAUAUUAGGAGGAAUACCAGUAGCGAAGGCGACUUUCUGGACACAAACUGACGCUGAGGUACGAAAGCGUGGGGAGCAAACAGG
rnacentral:rRNA from 1 species